GGACUCUGAGAUCUUCCCUUGGGAAUGAGCAUAUUAGACACCCUAGCCCUGGAGUCUGACAGUAGGAGAGCUGGACCAAUUGACUGACUUGAAAACUAGUAGAACUGACAUCCAGGCUGUAAAAAACCUAGACUUCAUUCAUGAAGGGCUCACACACAGUCGCUCACUCCUGAAACAAAGUGGAAGCAGCAGAUUGAAACUGCCCAGGACUCUGGCUGGUUUCCUAUGACCACCCUAGCAUGUGCCCCAACCUGAGCAUUUUUUACAUAGUAACUAUGAAUGUUGUCAAGUUGUUUAACGUCCCUGUAUUUAUUUCCCCAUCUAUAAGGAAUAUAAUUAUCUUGAGCAGUUUUAUAAAGAGCAUAAGUAAUGUAUGCAAAGUGAACUGUACAAAUUGCUUCCAGGUAGAUGGAAGUUAUAAUGCCCAGGAAUAACUUCAGAAAAUAGUACCAUGAACCUGAAUGAAUUUUAACCAAAGAAAUACAGGCCUUCUCAAUAUGUAAAAUGUGGUCUUUAAUAACCUUAUGUAGCCAGGACCAGGAUUUCAUCCCUCAGGCCAACUCUAAAACUGCUUUUAUGAGUCAACAGCAAUGCUUUCAUAAUUAUGGCACCAUCCAACCCACCAUGCAAAUCUGUUAAGGUGUCUUUGUUGUUUUGAGGGGUUAGUAGGGUAAUGUGCCCUAUUAUCCAUUUACCAUUAGAAAAGCUGCAAAUGACUUUUACAGUAAAAAACACAUGACAAAAUUAAAAGCAAUUGGUUUGUCUAUAAUUUAUAACAUGUUCACUUAAAUAUAUACAUAUACAUAUACAUUUAAAUGUUUUCAAAACUUUGUGCGUAUUUACAGUCACCUAAGUGCCUCUAAGACUUGUGGAUCAGAAUUUGAACAAAAGAUGUAUUUUGGAUGAAUUAUUUUAUAUAAAGAGAUAUCUUUAUUCGUUCAUACCUUGCAAGUAUUUUGCAGUGAAAUUCUUUUUAUGAUAUUUACAUUUUAACAUAACUAGUUUAUUCAGGUAUCUGUUUUCAUUUAUCUGGUUUCCAAUAGAUUCUCCACCCUAGAGGAUAAAAACUUUCUCUGCCAGCAGGGAAAAUCUAAUGCCCCCAAGUUUUGUUUGGUCAGGAAAGAAUUUUAAUACUGAUUAUUGGAAUUUCAGCACAUGUUAAGCAGGGCAGCAUUCUCCAGUGUACCAUUGCUCUAACAAUCCCUGUUUCUUUACUCCUUACUGGUAGCUUCUUCGUCUAUAAAGAUUUUAUUUUGCCAUCUUUGUCCUUCACCAUCACCAGAGUAUUCUCAAGAGUUCUAACUGGCUCCCCUAUUAGCCUUAUAUACACUCUGACGUGUCCUUCAGGAUCCUUUAUUUCCCUUUCAAUUUUGUUUCCCCAGGAAGGAAAAGGCAAUUAGCAUUUAUUGAGGAUGUAGUGCUUUGCAGACAUUGUGUUGUGUGUUGCAUUAAUUUACAUUUUUUGGUUCUCAUGAUAAUCUCAUAUUUAAAAAAUAAACAGAGGUUAAGAGAGUUUAAGGAACUUUGUCCAAAGUAGUAAUUGAUAAAGAAUUUAAACCAGGGCCUCCCUCACUUCAAAUCAUUUACUUUUUCCACUAUCCAAGUGGAGGAACAAUUGUGGUAGAAAUCCUAAGACAUCACGAAUGUGUGAGUGCAGAGUAGAAUCAAGACCAUGUGAUAAACUGAACUGAUCAUGUUGCAUACAAAUACACCAGAAAGCUCAAGUUCUUUGAGCUUGACAAAGAACCAAUGAGAAAGAGUAUAUAGGAAGGCACUUUCAGCCAACAUAAAGGGCUCUCUGAAGGCAGCCUGAGUCUGUAAAGGAAUUGAGAACUAAAGAUGCUGACAACAUAAAAAUGUAGUUCAGGAUACCAGGCUCCAUUGACUUGAUAUGCUUUUUAAUUUAAGUACAAGUAACUAAGAAUGAACCCUCUGAGAACAGAAAACUAUAAAAUUUCAGCAUGCCUUUUCUCAUGGUUAUCUAAAAAUGCCUCUCUUUAAGUUUUUUUUUCUCAAAUCAUUUUUUAUGCCGAAAUAAUAUUAUUUGUAACAAGUUUUUUAAAUGACUUGAGUCAUAUAUAUUGUUGCCAUGCAAAAUAUAGAUGUAAACCUGAGAAAUUAACAUUUACUCUUCCUUUCUUUUAACAACCAUGUAAUGAGCACCACCAGUUUUAUGCUGGGCUACCUCUGUGAGACCCAUAAAGAGGAAUAAUGAAGCAGCCAUUGAUCACAGGAGCUAACAAUUCAGCAGGGAAGGCAACAAGCACAAAUGCACACAGUAUCUACAGUUGUUACAAAGUGUACUUCAUGAGCGGUAUUGAGAAAUGGGGCUAAGAAAGGGAAAGAUCAAUUUGAUUUUGGAAUAUCAUGAAGAUUUCAUGAAGUCAGUAGAUAAAGCAGUGUUUGUAGACAAGCACAAUAGAAGACCAAGAUUUAAUCUGUUCUCAUUUCCUAUUUGCUGUUUAAAUCUCUAUACCUCAUUUGACCUUUCUCAUUUGUAACAGGAGAUUUAAAACUUUUAUCUUAAGGACAGAUUGUGUACCUAAAUAUAAAAGACAAAAAUUAAGGGGUUUAGGAAAAAAUUGCAGGUGAAAAUCUUUGUGAUCUUAGAAUAAGAAAAUUUUCCUUAAACAUUACACAAAGAUGAUAAGAACAUAUUAAUCUUUGGCCUUCAUCAACCAGUAAGAGAGUGGAAGACAAAAUGAACAGACCAGAAAAUGUGAAGAUACUGGUGAUACUGUUUCUGAAAAGUGACCCAUAUGUGGAAUAUUUUUAAAAAAUCCUACAUGGUUGAAUAAGGAAAAGACAUUGAAAAAUAAGUGAGAGACUUGCCAGUCACAUCACAAGACGGGAUGCCCGCUUGCCCCAUAAACAUGAAGAAUCUUCUACCUCAUUUAUUUUUGGAGAAAUGAAAAACAGAAUGACAGUAUAUGUGGUUUUACUAAAAGAGUGGAAGUGACAAGAAACUUCCAAAAGUUGAGGAUAUGGAGGAAUUAGAAUUCUCAUGCACUCUCUUUGGGAGUAUAAAUUGAUAAAACCACGUUGGAAGCUGUUUCACAGUUUCCAAUAAAGUGUAAGCUUAUCCUGUGACUCAGCAAUUCCAGCAUUAAGUAUAUACCGUUCUUUGUUUUCUAUUGCUACUGUAACAAAUAAGCACAUACUUAAUGCCUUAAAAUAACACAGAUAUUCCAACACAGUUCUUUAGAUCAAAAGCCUGUUCAGGUCUCUUUGGACUAAAAUAAAGGUGUCUUAUGUUCCUUUCUGCACACUCCAGGUUUGGGUACUUUCUGAAGACAUUCCCAACUUCUAGACCCUUUCUGCUUUCCUCAUGUCCUGGCCUCUUCCUCUAUAUUAAUGCCAGGAAUGUUGGAUUCUCUCUCUCCGUCUCUUUUGGUCUUUCACUCUUUGCCUGUCUCUCUUUGUAUCUUUAUGUUUCUCUCCCUCUAUCAGUCUCUCCUUUUCUCUCUCUGUUUUUCUUCCUGUCUUUCUCAUCCUGUUUUCUCUCUCUGUAUUUCUCUUUCUCCCAUCUUUCUCUCUCUCUCUUUCUCUGGCUCUGUCUCUCCCUCACUCAUUGUCACUAGGAAAGUUUUUCUGCUUUUAAAGACUCAUGUGGUCAAUCAAGCCAUUAACCCCAUCUCAAAGUUCUUGACUUACCCAGAUGUAUAAAGUUCUAUUAGUCAUGUAACAUACCGACACAUUUGAGGAUUGAGAAAGUAGAUAUAAAUUUCAAAAACAGGCAAAAUUAGUCAAUAUAUCAGAAACCAUGAUAGGGAGUACCCUCUUGGAGGAUGUGAUUUAUGACUGGAAGAGAACAUGGAUGGGGCAAUCUUCAGUGGUGAUAGAAUUGUUCUGUUUCUUAUCCUAGGCACUGGGUAAAUUUGUUUAGUUUGUGAAAAUUAUGUGUGUUAGCUUAAUUACUACAUUUUAAAAAUCUGUUGUCCUAGCUUCACGGAGCAGUAGAUAUAAUAACCAAAUUACAUAGCAAUAUCAAAAAUUGUCUUUAUUAGACUCUACUGUUUCACAGAUGUUCUACUAAAUGUGUUUCUGUUCGCAGAUAUUAGCCCCAUUUAACAAAAGAAGGGGCUGAGAAUCAGAUGUGUAUUAAGUAGCAUAGCUAAUAAAGGUCAUCAGUACCUUGACUUAAACCAAGGCUCAUACUUAAAAGCCUUUGAGUUUCAUUCUAUGACAUUGGGAUCAGGAGAAUCUCUUAGAUCUGUAGAAUUCGUGGCAAGCCUGGAAUGUGGAUAGUCAAUACAAAAGCACUCUAAGAUCUAGAUAUAUUAUAUGAAAAUUAAAAAUGCUAAGAAAGUCUAAACAAUAAUGCAGAUGUCAUUCAAUUAUUAUUAAGAAAUUUAAAGACAGCACAGUGUAUUCAGUGGAAAUAUGAAAAGACUCAGAGUCUGAGGCAAUAACUCAUUUGAGUUUAUCUGCCUCUUUUAUGCACCUUGCCUCCAUUCUCCCGAUUUGAUUUGUUUAACCUCCAAUUGAAGAACUCAGCACCAUACAGGCCAUAGG
rnacentral:lncRNA from 1 species